rnacentral:lncRNA from 1 species
UGUAAGACAGCCACUCCACCCACUGCAGUCUACAAGGAAAGCCUCCAUAGCUGUGCUUAUUACCGCCAACAGGAUUUCUUUAGUACUAAGCUUCAAGAAACCAGCAACUUGCUUGAGAUGUGUCCCACUUCUCGUUCUGGGCCCAUGAAACUUGGAUGAAACUAUGCCUGCCAUCUGGUUCUUACUUCAGGGUCACGGACUUAAGAUUGCCCAUUCAUUCCUCUUUAAUAAGACAUCUUGGUGGACUAAUGGCUAACCAGUCCAUGAUCACACAUCACUGUGAUGGUGUCACACACUUGGUAUUUUUUAAUUUAGGGAAUGUUGUGAUCCAACAUGGCUGUCACGGACUUGAUGCAAUAAAGCAAACUGUAGCUGAGCUGAAA